rnacentral:rRNA from 1 species
GACGAACGCUGGCGGCGUGCCUAAUACAUGCAAGUCGAGCGAAUGACGAGAAGCUUGCUUCUCUGAUUUAGCGGCGGACGGGUGAGUAACACGUGGGCAACCUGCCCUGCAGAUCGGGAUAACGCAGGGAAACCUGGGCUAAUACCGGAUAAUCCUUCGAAUGACAUGUUUUGAGUUCGAAAGGCGCUUCGGCGUUACUGUAGGAUGGGCCUGCGGUGCAUUAGCUAGUUGGUGGGGUAACGGCCUACCAAGGCAACGAUGCAUAGCCGACCUGAGAGGGUGAUCGGCCACAUUGGGACUGAGACACGGCCCAAACUCCUACGGGAGGCAGCAGUAGGGAAUCUUCCACAAUGGACGAAAGUCUGAUGGAGCAACGCCGCGUGAGUGAUGAAGGUUUUCGGAUCGUAAAACUCUGUUGUAAGGGAAGAACAAGUACGUUAGGAAAUGAACGUACCUUGACGGUACCUUAUUAGAGAGCCACGGCUAACUACGUGCCAGCCGCCGCGGUAA